AUGCUUUCUUUCUUGUCAAUAUCUCCCUUCAACUGCGGUGCCCAGAAUUGGACACAGUAUUCCAGGUGUGGUCUGACCAAGGCAGAUUCUGCCUUGGUCAGACCACACCUGGAAUACUGUGUCCAAUUUUGGGCACCGCGGUUGAAGGGAGAUGUUGAUAAGCUGGAAAGCGUCCAGAGGAGGGCGACUAAAAUGAUUAAGGGUCUGGAGAACAAGCCCUAUGAGGAGAGGCUUAAAGAGCUGGGCAUGUUUAGCCUGCAGAAGAGAAGGCUGAGAGGAGACAUGAUAGCCAUGUACAAAUAUGUGAGGGGAAGUCAUAGGGAGGAGGGAGCAAGCUUGUUUUCUGCAGCCCUGCAGACUAGGACACGGAACAAUGGCUUCAAACUACAGGAAAGGAGAUUCCACCUGAACAUCAGGAAGAACUUCCUCACUGUGAGAGCUGUUCGACAGUGGAACUCUCUGCCCCGGACUGUGGUGGAGGCUCCUUCAUUGGAGGCUUUUAAACAGAGGCUGGAUGGCCAUCUGUCGGGAGUGCUUUGAAUGCGAUUUCCUGCUUCUUAGCAGGGGGUUGGACUGGAUGGCCCAUGAGGUCUCUUCCAACUCUACAAUUGUAUGAUUCUAUGAUUCUAUGAUUCUAUGAAGUGUAAAAGUACCCCCUUCCGGUCCCAUAUGAAGCCCCUGUAAUCCUGAGAAUCAACCAUUUGUGAAUCCACUCUGUAUUUUAGUCAAAACUUUAAAUAGUGUAUGGUUGCUAUGAAAUCUCAGAGCAGAUUCAUCACCUUCUGACAGAAAAGGCACUAGAUACUUCUCAUGUAGAAUAGUCUCAAUCUGAGGAUAUGAAAGUUGGGAGGCACUCACUUGCCUAAGGGGAAAGAGAUUAGUCCCAUUUUACCAUACACAGCUCACCCAAGUUAUAGUAUAUGGCUUAAUACAAUACAGUUAGUGUAAACAGUAUUUUAAUUACACACACCUUAUUUAUUUCGCUCUUUAAUCCUCUCAUUAGCACGAUAAACAUUUUACAUCACUGAACAACGGUAACUUUGUUAGCUUAAUAGAACGCAGCAUGGAACUGGCUGGUGCUUUCUUCUGAUUUAUAGUCUUAUAUUGAUUUUCCCUUUCCUUUGAAUUAUGGGUGUUACUUCCUCUCUUAUAACUUUCUUCUACUUUGAGAGAAUGAAGUUUCAUUGGUCUUUCAUCUUGCUGUCAUACGCAAAUGUUAAAAUGAUAUACCCACAAAAAGAACAUGGCAAGUUCUUUUCAUAUAAUCCAGAUACCUGUGCUCUUUUUUAACAUUGAUGAAAGAUCUAAAACCUGCUGUGAUCAGAUGGGGAUAUGCUCUAUGUUGGUGAAUUGUUUCCCACCCACCUUGCAUUGGAAUGGAGACAUGAAUAUGAAUGUCCAGAUGGGGCACUGGGGUAUAAUCAAAACAGAAACUGCAAAGGCAUGUUUUGUAACCUAGAGCCAUCUGUACUGCCAAAAGAGCCUGAGGAAAACAUGUGGGCUGCAAAAGAGAGGUGAAAUAUAUGAAGAGAUAAGAUUAAAUAACAGUUGCUACAAUGGAUUGCAUUCAUAUAUUCAUGACUAGAUGUUACUUUAGAAAUCUUUAAGAAUCGUAAGUUACUAUAUAUAUAUCAGAUUCACUCUGCUUUGUAUUUUGCAAGAAAGCUAUAUAAUGAGAAUUGUCCCAGAGCAGAUAAAAACAAGACAACAGGACUGAAUUAAUUUUGGCUGGUUAGAGAAUGUGUGGGAGAAAACAUUCCCACGUGUACAGGGAUUUUGGGUCUUCCUCCUAGCAACUUUUCCCAUGGAGCAGCUUCCAAAAUUAUUCCAUGUAGAACCAACGAGCUUUGAUGACUUGGUGUAAGAAAUGUUCAUGCUGAAGCAGAGAGAGGAGACUGGACAAGGACAGUUGUAACAGCCAUUUUGCUUUGUAGCAGCUUCAGUGAAUUGGAGCAGUGCAUUUUCUAUCUACCUUCUCAGAAGUAAUCAUGCAAGAUGGCAUAGGAUCUUGGGACUGCAAUCUAAGGACCUUAUCACAUUAAGUGAAGGAUUUGUCAUGCAUUGUGGUGAAUCUGUGGGGUCCUGGCAUGGCCCAACUUACCUCUGCCACCUUCCCACAGGAGAAGGAUCCACUACCUCCCCCCCCCUCCAUUGUAGCAAAGGCAACACGGGAAGUCUCCUGUGUUGCUGCGGUGGUGGUGUACACUGUUUACUCCCCCUUUCACCACAGAGCCCGGACAAAAGUAGAUGUGCACCAUGUAAUGGGCUCAAUGGCAAAAGGAGCAAGGAAACAGCAUAAAACGGAUAAAUCAGCCCAUAUGAUGAAGUCCAAAGUCAGAAACGAGCAUCUGUAAUUUGUUGUUUUUGAAUGACAUGGAGCUCUUGUGGAAAUAAUUCAAUUCCAUGGAAAGUGGAAAAGAUAACACUGAAGUUGCAUUUUUUUUCCAGUUGCCAAAUGGACUAAAUGAGAGUGAGAGCAUAAUUUUGGAACAUGUCCUUAAAAAUCCUUUGUUAGAAUUUGAUCUUACUUCUUCCAGGAACUUGACAGGUCAUAUCAGGCAAUCCACUCAAUCUCCUAUCUGGAGUAUUGGGGUAAUAUCUAGGGCAAGACAAUGUACAGGGCUAUUGGAAGUCUAAAAUAUCACAAAGAUUUUGAAAACUUAGAAAAAACGGCUUUUUGGAUAAUAUGAACUGUCAUUAUUAACUAUAGCAAUCAGUAAGUGUUUCCAUGGUCCACAUGGCAAAAAAUCUGUUUCUCAAAGGGUUCUGGAAAUAGACAGGAAAUGCUGUUAGCUGGUUUUGGGCUUCUGAGCUUUACAUAUUUUACUCUUUUUGCACAAUUUCAUUGUGUAUUUCCCUUUAUAUCUUAUAUCCUGCCUCCUGGAGUCCUUAUGUUAGUAAGAAUCAGUGACAGUUUCCAUGUUGGCAGGGUGCUGAAGCCAUUCUGGCUUUUAGCCUGAAAUUUAAGUGAGCUACACUCCUUGGGUACCUCCUUCACAAUUGAUACUAAAAUCCUGUGCAGAUUUGCCAUUCUACUGACAUGGUAUGACAUUGAGAAGCUUUUAAAUGUUCCAUUGAUCUUUUUUAAGGCAACUUGACCCAUCAUACUUUGGCCAACUGUCUAGACUGCAGCUAAACAAUAUAAAUAUUGUAAUAAAUAAAUAAAUAAAUACUCGAGUAUAAGUUGGGUUUUUCAGCCCUUUUUAGGGCUGAAAAAUCCCCCCUAGGCUUAUACUUGAGUGAAGGUCCCGGCUGGCUUAUAUUCAGGCCUGCUUAUAGUCGAGUACAUAGGUAAUCAGAGUUGGACAGUCUUAUCUUAUUAAAGUCUUAUCUUAUUAAAGUUAAAGUAGUGUAGACUGUUGAUUCACAACUCUUGUGAAAAUAUGAGGGUGAAUGGGGCCAGUGACAAACACAUGAAAGACAUCAAUGUGGCUUUUGUGAGGUGACCUUCUCAUUCUUCCUCAGGCCAUAAUUGUAAGAUGACUAUUAUUUAUUAUUUAUUUUAUUUACAGUAUUUAUAUUCCGCCCUUCUCACCCCGAAGGGGACUCAGGGCGGAUCACAUUACACAUAUAAGGCAAACAUUCAAUGCCUUAACAUAGAACAAAGACAAGACAAACACGGGGCUCCGAGCUGGCCUCGAACUCAUGACCUCUUGGUCAGAGUGGUUUGUUGCAGCUGGCUGCUCAAAAGCCUGCGCCAUAGCUCGGCCCAAU
ensembl:lncRNA